CAAUGUGGGGCUCUAACUCACAAACUGAGAUCAUACCUGAGCUGAAGUCAGAAGCUUAACCAGCUGAGCCACCCAGGCACACCUGUUGUGCUGUGUUUUUAAUGAUUAGAGAAUUCUUCCUUUGUUUGAACUGUAAUCUGUCUUCCUGUGACUGCCAUGCCCUAAGUUUGUAUAAAUCACUAUAACACCUAUGUGUGAACACAUGCACAAUCUGUUCCCUGCUAUCAAAAUGUAAUAUGUGCAUACCCUUGAUUCAGCAAUUCCUAUAGAAAUACUAGCACAAUUAUAGAAAAUAAAGGUAUGUGAGGACGUUCACUGGGGCUUUGUAAUAAUGCUUUCCCUAGUUUGGGAACAGUUCAAGUAAAUAUAGAAGGAUCAUUUGACAGAGAUUCUGUAGAGGGCAUUCCUGCAUCGAGUAGGAGCUUCGAUUGAUAACCUCAAAAGUUUGUGUAGUUAUAAGCCUUUGGUGUGCUCAUUUACAGGAGGAGAGGAGAGCAGACACUUCUGGUCUCCUGCUCCAUCUUCUCUACCUUUGUUGUUUCUGCUCAGCACAGGAACUCCAUGGAAAAGGGCAUCAGGAUAAGCGCUUGACACAGCAAACACUCUCUCCCUCUUAUACUUUAUCGCCUCGCGGAAAAGAAUUUGCUGCACAGUGCAUGAAGCAUGGGCCACAAGGACCCUCACUGGCACCUGCUCCUCCCAAGGGCCUCCAAGGAGUUCUAGCCAAGUGUUCACAGGAUCAGGAAUAUCCCAGAACAUGCUCUCAUCAAGCUAAUGUAGGACAUCAAGCAUCAUGAAAAAUUACUCUGGCAUGUGCAGAGGAUCUAAUAUCCCAGUUUUCAGUACCAAAGCCAGGUGUCUCCAGUGACCAGUAUUGGUGGAGAUUUCCGCGUAAGGGGGCCAGCGGCGCCGGGACUAUUUCAGCUUGCAGGAACAAGUUCUGCAAUCACUUCUUUAGAGCAUUUUGAUGGUCUCGAAUGAAGUAUUUUGGAUUCCAUGUUUGU